rnacentral:rRNA from 1 species
GAUGAACGCUGGCGGCGUGCCUAAUACAUGCAAGUCGAGCGAACAGACGAGGAGCUUGCUCCUCUGACGUUAGCGGCGGACGGGUGAGUAGCACGUGGAUAACCUACCUAUAAGACUGGGAUAACUUCGGGAAACCGGAGCUAAUACCGGAUAAUAUAUUGAACCGCAUGGUUCAAUAGUGAAAGACGGUUUUGCUGUCACUUAUAGAUGGAUCCGCGCCGCAUUAGCUAGUUGGUAAGGUAACGGCUUACCAAGGCAACGAUGCGUAGCCGACCUGAGAGGGUGAUCGGCCACACUGGAACUGAGACACGGUCCAGACUCCUACGGGAGGCAGCAGUAGGGAAUCUUCCGCAAUGGGCGAAAGCCUGACGGAGCAACGCCGCGUGUGUGAUGAAGGUCUUCGGAUCGUAAAACUCUGUUAUUAGGGAAGAACAAAUGUGUAAGUAACUAUGCACGUCUUGACGGUACCUAAUCAGAAAGCCACGGCUAACUACGUG